rnacentral:rRNA from 1 species
GAUGAACGCUGGCGGCGUGCCUAAUACAUGCAAGUCGAGCGAAUGGAUUAAGAGCUUGCUCUUAUGAAGUUAGCGGCGGACGGGUGAGUAACACGUGGGUAACCUGCCCAUAAGACUGGGAUAACUCCGGGAAACCGGGGCUAAUACCGGAUAACAUUUUGAACCGCAUGGUUCGAAAUUGAAAGGCGGCUUCGGCUGUCACUUAUGGAUGGACCCGCGUCGCAUUAGCUAGUUGGUGAGGUAACGGCUCACCAAGGCAACGAUGCGUAGCCGCCCUGAGAGGGUGAUCGGCCACACUGGGACUGAGACACGGCCCAGACUCCUACGGGAGGCAGCAGUAGGGAAUCUUCCGCAAUGGACGAAAGUCUGACGGAGCAACGCCGCGUGAGUGAUGAAGGCUUUCGGGUCGUAAAACUCUGUUGUUAGGGAAGAACAAGUGCUAGUUGAAUAAGCUGGCACCUUGACGGUACCUAACCAGAAAGCCACGACUAACUACGUGCCAGCCGCCGCGGUAA